rnacentral:misc_RNA from 1 species
UUCUAAGAUGACUGUAAUUAAGAGUACUAGCUUUUCAUAGCUUUAGUAACAUAACUGGGGGGUCUCGUCCGUUACUAAACAAUUAAGUUAAGAUUAUAAAACACGGACUUGCAACAGCCAUGCAACUCAUGUUAUCACUUUUUAUGGUCGCUGAUUUGACAGCUUUAAAUGGUUGCCCACAAACCAAGUACCUGCACUCUUGUGAAAAGCCAGUACAUGUGAUAUUUCACCAAUUGGUAAGAUUAAGAGCGGAUUAUCUUAUUAACCAGCAUACACCACUGCUUGCAAAUACUUCCGUCAAUUCCUUAGGUUUUAACCUUGCGAUCUUAGUUCCUGGGCGGAAUUUUUACCGCGUUAGCUUGGAUACCGGAAAAUUUCCCGACAAAACCCAAAAUUCAUC